rnacentral:rRNA from 1 species
GAGUUUGAUCUUGGCUCAGAACGAACGCUGGCGGCAUGCCUAACACAUGCAAGUCGAACGAACUCUUCGGAGUUAGUGGCGCACGGGUGCGUAACGCGUGGGAAUCUGCCCUUGGGUACGGAAUAACUCAGAGAAAUUUGUGCUAAUACCGUAUAAUGACUUCGGUCCAAAGAUUUAUCGCCCAAGGAUGAGCCCGCGUAAGAUUAGCUAGUUGGUGGGGUAAAGGCCUACCAAGGCUACGAUCUUUAGCUGGUCUGAGAGGAUGAUCAGCCACACUGGGACUGAGACACGGCCCAGACUCCUACGGGAGGCAGCAGUGGGGAAUAUUGGACAAUGGGCGAAAGCCUGAUCCAGCAAUGCCGCGUGAGUGAUGAAGGCCUUAGGGUUGUAAAGCUCUUUUACCCGGGAUGAUAAUGACAGUACCGGGAGAAUAAGCUCCGGCUAACUCCGUGCCAGCCGCCGCCGUAAC